rnacentral:snRNA from 1 species
AGAUGUCAGAGUGAUCUAUCUGUCUGUGAAAUCUGUCCCGGCGCUGUUGGUUUGGCUGAUCUAGUUCAGCUGGGUGGAUGUCACCGUUCUCCCUCACCACUCUACGGGCAUGUCUGUGGAAGUCGUGUGUGACGUUGAAGAAAGCAACCUUCCCUGAACAGAAGAACUCAUCUUCCAUCAAACGUACGUGGGUAGCUGUGCUCUCUGGCUACAGCCUCCAAACAAGCUGUCAAAAAUGCCCAGGUGUUGGAGGAGUUACCCACAGGGGCAGGCUGUAUGGCCAGCAGACGAUAGAGCU